rnacentral:rRNA from 1 species
UACGUAGGGGCAAGCGUUGUCCGGAAUCAUUGGGCGUAAAGAGCGUGUAGGCGGCUCGGUAAGUCCGCUGUAAAAGUCCAGGGCUCAACCCUGGAAAGCCGGUGGAAACUGUCGAGCUGAGAGCCGGAAGAGGCGAAGUGGAAUUCCUGGUGGUAGCGGUGAAAUGCGCAGAUAUCAGGAAGAACACCCGUGGCUAAGGCGGCUCUCUAGUACGGUACUGACGCUGAGACGCGAAAGCGUGGGGAGCGAACAGG